rnacentral:rRNA from 1 species
UACGGGGGGAGCAAGCGUUGUUCGGAUUUACUGGGCGUAAAGGGUGCGUAGGCGGCGCGGUAAGUCGGGUGUGAAAUCUCGGAGCUUAACUCCGAAACUGCAUUCGAUACUGCCGUGCUUGAGGACUGGAGAGGAGACUGGAAUUUACGGUGUAGCGGUGAAAUGCGUAGAUAUCGUAAGGAAGACCAGUGGCGAAGGCGGGUCUCUGGACAGCUCCUGACGCUGAGGCACGAAGGUCAGGGGAGCAAACGGG